rnacentral:rRNA from 1 species
GGGAAUAUUGCGCAAUGGAGGAAACUCUGACGCAGUGACGCCGCGUAUAGGAAGAAGGUUUUCGGAUUGUAAACUAUUGUCGUUAGGGAAGAAAAAAAGACAGUACCUAAGGAGGAAGCUCCGGCUAACUACGUGCCAGCAGCCGCGGUAAUACGUAGGGAGCAAGCGUUAUCCGGAAUUAUUGGGUGUAAAGGGUGCGUAGACGGGAAUCUAAGUUAGUUGUGAAAUCCCUCGGCUUAACUGAGGAACUGCAACUAAAACUGGAUUUCUUGAGUGCAGGAGAGGAAAGUGGAAUUCCUAGUGUAGCGGUGAAAUGCGUAGAUAUUAGGAGGAACACCAGUGGCGAAGGCGGCUUUCUGGACUGUAACUGACGUUGAGGCACGAAAGUGUGGGGAGCAAACAGG